AACGUAGGAGGCGAGCGUUAUCCGGAUUUACUGGGUGUAAAGCGCGUGCAGGCGGCGGGCUAAGUUGGGUGUGAAAGCUCCCGGCUCAACUGGGAGAGGUCGCUCAAGACUGGCCGGCUGGAGAGCAGGAAGGGAAGGUGGAAUUCCGGGUGUAGUGGUGAAAUGCGUAGAUAUCCGGAGGAACACCAGUGGCGAAAGCGGCCUUCUGGACUGCAUCUGACGCUCAGACGCGAAAGCUAGGGGAGCAAAC
rnacentral:rRNA from 1 species